UUUUUCCCUCGGCCACCUGAAAAGCACAGCCUUAUGAAAUAAGAGGAAAUAAGUGAAAGAGGCUCAUACGUUAUGUAGGCUUUUUAUAAAGCACUCAAAUUCCACUGAAAUACAUAAAGUAAUCUUGUCAAUGAAAUUAAUGCAUAUAUGCUGUGCAGUAUAUUAUUAGCAUGGUGGAACAAUAAAACCAAUUAUUUGAGGAGUCGUGUUACUGUUAGACUAAAUGAAACAACUUCACGUUGGCUUUGUCACACAAAAAAGUUAAUCCUCUACUUGCUUUCACUUGUAGGUAGCUGAGGGGAAGACAGGAGUAGUAUUUUAAGUGAUUCCACCUGAUAAUUACAUUAAAUUCUCAGGCUCUUUUAACUUACUGCCCUUUCCCAUAGGAAGACUAAUGCGUUCAAGUUCACACUACUGUUCUUGAGUUUACACUCUACACUGCACAGUAACUGUAGCAUAUUACGUAAGGAAAAUAAGGUUAUUGUUGCCUGUUCCAUAGUAAGCACUUCAAUAUGCAGUGCUUUACUACAUCUAAUAGGUUCUAGAACUGAUGAAAUAAGCUCAUUUUUUGCUCCUGUUUAACAGUAUUUCUUCUAUGCUUUAUCUAUUAUAUUUGAAAAGCCAGCAGCAUUUCCCAUCUUCUCUUAUCAGCCCUAAUUGAAUGAACUUCAAUACUUCUCUUCAUCAGUGAUGUUUGCAGAAAAGCUGUUUGUUUGAUGUCAUCAGCAAGAUCUCUAAACUUAGCUUUCACAUUGACAGGAACGCAUUUACCAAGCAUGUUCCAGAUACCAUUCAAAUUCUGCAUUAUGAAAGAAUUUUUGAAGCAUUACAACGCACAGUGGUAAUUGUAUUUACUCCAUUUGUAAAGAAAUACACUGUAUCUAACAAAAGUACGUCCUGUUCAAAUAGCGUUAUUAAGCUGCUUUAAUUAACCUUAAGAAUCUUAAACAACUCAAGUGGAAUUGCCUUUAGGCAAAUGAGCAAACAUGUCAAAGUAUGUUAAGCAGAACCAUUUCAACGAGAUUUGCAAUAGUACUGUGUACCUGUUGAACUUUGAUAGGUAAAUAAACCAAAAGCAUCAACUGCAAACGCUUCUCUUUAUGAAAAGCCUCUCUACUCCAUUUCUCUUCUCAUUUCAGUACAAAAGGAAGUCAUCCACUCCUAAAAUGAAACAAGUGAAGUAGGAGACUUAAUAGAUACUUAAUAGAUACAUUUCCCUCCAGUGACUGCAGACAGAAUCUAGGAUGACUUGAUCGGGUUAAAUACCAAAUGCAUACACAGGUAUCCACUGUCUGGAGAAGAGUCCCCAUCAGGACUUCGGCCCCUUGUCUUUGCCGCCUCUCUAAAUAUAGAUGACAGUUCCUCAAUGAAU